GGGCCGCUAGCUCAGUAGGUAGAGCACCGCCCUUUUAAGGCGGGAGUGCUGGGUUCGAAUCCCAGGCGGCUCA
rnacentral:tRNA from 1 species